GAUGAACGCUAGCGGCAGGCCUAAUACAUGCAAGUCGAACGCCCGUAGCAAUACGGGAGUGGCAGACGGGUGAGUAACGCGUGGGAACAUGCCCUUUGGUUCGGAAUAACUCAGGGAAACUUGAGCUAAUACCGGAUAAGCCCGAGAGGGGAAAGAUUUAUCGCCGAAGGAUUGGCCCGCGUCCGAUUAGCUAGUUGGUGAGGUAAUGGCUCACCAAGGCGACGAUCGGUAGCUGGUCUGAGAGGAUGAUCAGCCACACUGGGACUGAGACACGGCCCAGACUCCUACGGGAGGCAGCAGUGGGGAAUAUUGGACAAUGGGGGCAACCCUGAUCCAGCCAUGCCGCGUGAGUGAUGAAGGCCCUAGGGUUGUAAAGCUCUUUCGGCGGGGACGAUAAUGACGGUACCCGCAGAAGAAGCCCCGGCUAACUUCGUGCCAGCAGCCGCGGUAACAC
rnacentral:rRNA from 1 species